UACAGAGGGGGCAAGCGUUGUUCGGAAUUACUGGGCGUAAAGGGCGCGUAGGCGGCCUGUUAAGUCGAACGUGAAAUCCCCGGGCUCAACCCGGGAACUGCGUCCGAUACUGGCAGGCUUGAAUCCGGGAGAGGGAUGCGGAAUUCCAGGUGUAGCGGUGAAAUGCGUAGAUAUCUGGAGGAACACCGGUGGCGAAGGCGGGUCUCUGGGCCGAUACUGACGCUGAGAAGCGAAAGCGUGGGGAGCGAACAGG
rnacentral:rRNA from 1 species